GUCACGGUGGCCGAGUGGUUAAGGCGUUGGACUCGAAAUCCUCUCCCCGCACAGGUUCGAAUCCUGUCCGUGACG